AUUGAACGCUGGCGGCAGGCUUAACACAUGCAAGUCGAGCGGAGCGAGGGUGCUUGCACCUUAGCUUAGCGGCGGACGGGUGAGUAAUGCUUAGGAAUCUGCCUAUUAGUGGGGGUCAACAUUCCGAAAGGAAUGCUAAUACCGCAUACGCCCUACGGGGGAAAGCAGGGGCUCUUCGGACCUUGCGCUAAUAGAUGAGCCUAAGUCGGAGUAGCUAGUUGGUGGGGUAAAGGCCUACCAAGGCGACGAUCUGUAGCGGGUCUGAGAGGAUGAUCCGCCACACUGGGACUGAGACACGGCCCAGACUCCUACGGGAGGCAGCAGUGGGGAAUAUUGGACAAUGGGCGGAAGCCUGAUCCAGCCAUGCCGCGUGUGUGAAGAAGGCCUUUUGGUUGUAAAGCACUUUAAGCGAGGAGGAGGCUACUUAGAUUAAUACUCUGGGAUAGUGGACGUUACUCGCAGAAUAAGCACCGGCUAACUCUGUGCCAGCCGCCGCGGUAA
rnacentral:rRNA from 1 species